UCGAGGGGCAGCAUAUAGAUUGCUUGCAAUUUAUGAUGGCGACCGGCGCACGGGAGAGUAACGCGUAUCCAACCUACCCAUUACUAGGGAAUAACCCAGCGAAAGUUGGCCUAAUGCCCUAUGUAGUCGUUUGAUCGCCUGAGAUUUCGACGAAAGAUUUAUCGGUAUUGGAUGGGGAUGCGUCUGAUUAGCUUGUUGGCGGGGUAAAGGCCCACCAAGGCAACGAUCAGUAGGGGUUCUGAGAGGAAGGUCCCCCACAUUGGAACUGAGACACGGUCCAAACUCCUACGGGAGGCAGCAGUGAGGAAUAUUGGUCAAUGGGCGAGAGCCUGAACCAGCCAAGUAGCGUGCAGGAUGACGGCCCUAUGGGUUGUAUACUGCUUUUAUAUGGGAAUAAAGUGAGGGACGUGUCCCUUAUUGCAUGUACCAUAUGAAUAAGGACCGGCUAAUUCCGUGCCAGCAGCCGCGGUAAUACGGAAGGUCCAGGCGUUAUCCGGAUUUAUUGGGUUUAAAGGGAGCGUAGGCUGUUUGUUAAGCGUGUUGUGAAAUGUAAGAGCUCAACUUUUAGAUUGCAGCGCGAACUGGCAGACUUGAGUGCGCACAACGUAGGCGGAAUUCAUGGUGUAGCGGUGAAAUGCUUAGAUAUCAUGACG
rnacentral:rRNA from 1 species